GACGAACGCUGGCGGCGUGCUUAACACAUGCAAGUCGAACGGAAAGGCCCUGCUUUUGUGGGGUUCUCGAGUGGCGAACGGGUGAGUAACACGUGAGUAUCAUGCCCUUGACUGAGGGGUAAAUUCAGGGGACUGGGGCUAAUACCGGAGAGGAGCUCCUGCUGCGUGGGGGGGGUUGGAAAGUUUCGGCGUUGGGGGAUGGACUCGCGGGUUAUCAGCUUGUUGGGGGGGUAGUGGAUUACCAAGGCUUUGAAGGGUAGGCCGCAUGGGAGCGUGACCGGCCUCAUUGGGACUGCGAUACGGACCAGUAUCCUACCGGCCGCAGUAGUCGAGAAUAUUGCACAAUGGCCGGACGCCUGAUGUAGCAACGCUGCGUGCGGGAUGACGUCCUUCGGGUGGUAAACCGAUUUCGCAUGAGCCGAAGCGUGCGUGACGGUACCGGGUCAAGAAGCAACGGCUAACUACGUG
rnacentral:rRNA from 1 species